rnacentral:rRNA from 1 species
CGCCGGCGACCGGCGCACGGGUGAGUAACACGUAUGCAACCUGGCCGUGACAGAUGGAUAACCGGGAGAAAUCCCGCCUAAUACAGCAUGACGCCGGGAAGGGACAUCCCUUUCCGGCCAAAGGGGGCGACUCCGGUCACGGAUGGGCAUGCGGCGCAUUAGGUAGUUGGUGGGGCAACGGCCCACCAAGCCGACGAUGCGUAGGGGUUCUGAGAGGAAGGUCCCCCACAUUGGAACUGAGACACGGUCCAAACCCCUACGGGAGGCAGCAG